GAACAAAAAGGCACCAAGAUUGAUUUUAACAGAAAUGGCAUUGAACAGAGAUGAUGACCAUACUUUAGCGACUACUUAGUUUGAGCAUUGAAGAUACCUGAAAGUGUUUGCUGAAUUAAAUAUUUCAAAUUUAACUGUGCCAAACAUUUUUUGCAAGAGUGAAAUUUUACCAGGAAAGCAAGAGAGAAAUUGGACAUGGGAAGUAGCACGACUCAGAAGUUACAGAGCAGGGUGCUACAGUCAAGGUCAAAAAGAGACACUUUGCUGCAACCAAUGACUGAUUUAACCAGUUUUCUUUUAUGAGUUAUGAGCUAGCAGCAGCAAGAAGAAAUUGGACGUUCCUGUUAGCCUCAGGGCAGCCAAUACCAAGAAAAGCACUGGCUUUGGGAGUUUCUGACUUCUGAGUUCCUCCUGUUUCACCAUCUCCUCUGCACUAACUGCCUUUCCCCUUCCAACAUGGAGACCUACUGAAUUGAUUGCCAUCCUGACUAUUAUAAAUUUGACAAGUAGUAGUCUGGCUUCUGUCUCAAGACCUCCAAGAAGAGGAAAUCCACUCUUCCUCAUCCCAUCAUUAAGGUUGGGGACUUGCUUCCUGAUGUUGAAGGAGGAAGGAGCUUGUCAGCCCAGUCUGGUGUGGUGUGCCUCUUCUUGGUUCAGCCCGAAGAUUCAGGCCCAAUCGUUUCUGAAGAUUAGAACUGUUCUUCUUUGCUUUCUGUCUACUGCUAAGAUUCUGAAUUAUACAAAACUGGACUGAUAUAGAGUAGACGGGAGUGGGAGAACCCUCCACCAGCCUCUGGGCCUGGCCUCAGCUCUGAAGCGGAGAAAAAACUCCAAUCCAAACUGGUUAAUAAACUUUAUAUUAUUUGAAUCUGCA
rnacentral:lncRNA from 1 species